UGACCAGUCUGGCUUCUGCCUAUAUUCCAGAACUUAUCUGAUCCUGGGUAUAACCAAAGGUUGACUAUAUG
rfam:Mus musculus chromosome 7, GRC primary reference assembly.